UUUCAAAGUAACGUCGGUUUACGAAGAGUAAUGAGAAAAUUUUUGAAUCUUUGUAGUUAUAUGGCGAAGUGAUGAUAGAACUACAAAACGAUAAAAAACAAUACUUUUGCAGCUUCAUCUUCUUGCAGUAAUAAAGAAUUUUGUGAACCUAUGAUUUUGUUUGACUGUCCAUAUAAACAAUUACGAUAAAGUACAUGAUGGCUAUCUUCCGAAGAAGAGGAUGCCUUUCUGGAGGACUUUUAAAGGAAAGUGACACGUAUUCUCAUUCUAAAAGCGAAAGAACUGAAAAGGACUAAAAGACACAGCGAGCACAUAACAUUUUCCUUAAAGAAGUAAUACUGCAAAAUUUUUCUGUGCAAUUUUUCAGGAAUAAAUUUAGUGAAUCAGAUCCUGCAUGGUUUAUUGGAAUAGAUUACUGAGGCUACGGAAAAAUACACGAGGGUGAUCUACCAACGGAAACGAAAGACUUGGGGAGGGCUUUCUGAGGGUUUAUUUGUUUGUUGAGAUUAUAGCAAAGCACACGGCAACUAUUCUCGUAGAGUAAAGGAUGCCUUCGUGGAGGACGUAUCGACGUUACCCGUGAGAAAAUUCUCAUGUAGCCAACCUUUAUUGAUAAAGACAAACUUAGAUUUAAAAUUUACACAGUUCCAUAUAUGUUUAUAAUUGCACAUUUUAACAUGUUAAACACUUCCUCAUCCAGUUAUCGCACAUCUCCCAUCGCCCAGGAUUAUUUUAUCUAACUAUGAAAGGAUCUGCAAACAAUUCUAGUAAUAAACGUAUUUUAUAGUGAUAACAUACAAAGCAGCAUAAAAAAUGUCCUAAUGAAUCUGCAGAAAACAGUUAAUUAAAGUCUUAGUCUCUUAUUUCAGAGUAAACAAAAGAUUAGUUCGUACGGAUGUUACCAUAUGUGCUUUAUGGUAUCAUAAUGCAUGCAUGUUGAGAACUGCAAAGCAUUAGUUACCAGAAUUAUAAUUAUAAAGCAUGAUUUCUGACUUCUUCUGAGGCCAAAACGCAGGGAUCGAUCACAUUCAGAUGUCCACUAGCAGCCGACCGGUAAAGUCACUGAACAUUGGUAGUUCCGAUCUGGGUUCGGUUCCAGGCGAACGGGUUAGCUGCACGGGUAUUUUCGUGGUUUUGUGUAUACAAGCCAGUUUCUUUUAGAAAUUCAUCCCUCGCCUUAGGCAGACAGCCCUAGUGUGAUUUAGUUACGGCUCUGGCUCGGCUCUAGUGUGCUAAGCUAGACAGCCCUAGUGUACAGCAAAGCCCUAGUGUGCUUUGCCGUAAUCUCAAUAAACCAAACCAAUGACAUUCAGAAUUUACCUAGGAAUAUCAUUCAAAUCUGAGUCGACUGUGCGCCGAGAUUAUCAAAACGUUAGAAAGACCUUAUCAUCAAAACUUAUGGUGUCUGAAGAGUAUAAAUUUGGCGAAAGCACAGAAAGCUCUCAAUCCGACCUGCUUAAGCAGAGAUGCUUGACUUAGUUGAUCGUAAAAAUUCACUCUGAAAGGAAAUCAAGUCUUCAGUUCCAACAGCGUUAGAAAGAAAAACGAAUCGUUGCUAAUGAUGCUAUAAACAUGAAUGCGACUACUAAAUAUACAGUGAAAGAUAUUACUGUUUAACUAAAAUUACAAAUACAGAGUGACCCAUUGGUUGCCAGGCUUUCGGCAAAUAUGCUUUAUUUUAUAUAAUAUAUGUAAAUUAAUGAUCAUAUUAUUACGCUCUUCAUAUAUUCCUGAGUAAUAAAAAUUCCGAAUUAAACCUG